AGUAGGGUCAGCUAAUAAAGCUAUCGGGCCCAUACCCCGAAAAUGACGGUUAACCCCGCCCCCCACUA
rnacentral:tRNA from 1 species